AUGGCGUCGGUGCAGCUCUGCGGUGCCGCGGCCGUUGGCGCGGCGGGGUUCUCCGGGAAGGUAGCGGCCAACGCGCCGGCGGCGGUCGGGGUACGCCCGGCCCGGCGGGGGGCGCUCCGCGGGCUCGUCCCCAGGGCCGCCACCGUCGUCGCCCCCAUGUACACGACGGUCAAGCCCUUGGCUGACAGAGUGCUUCUGAAGACCAAGACUGCCGAGCAGAAGACGACCGGUGGGAUUCUGCUCCCUUCAACUGCGCAGUCUAAACCUCAGAGUGGUGAGGUGGUUGCUGUUGGAGAGGGAAGAACCAUUGGGGAUAGCAAAGUAGAAGUCGGCAUUAAGGUUGGGGCUCAGGUUGUAUAUUUGAAGUAUGCUGGAAUGGAGGUGGAGUUGAAUGAUUCCAACCAUCUGAUCCUAAAAGAGGACGAUAUCAUAGGUAUUCUGGAGACAGAGGAUGUGAAAGACAUGAAGCCUCUUAGCGACCGUGUUCUUAUCAAGGUAGCUGUAGCUGAAGAUAAAACUGCCGGGGGCCUGCUGCUGACCAACAGUGUCCAGGAGAAGCCAUCUGUUGGAACGGUGGUCGCUGUCGGCCCGGGCCAUCUGGACGAGGAAGGCAAGAGUAUCCCGUUGCCGGUAUCCACAGGCAGUUCCGUUCUGUACUCCAAGUAUGCUGGCGCCGAGUUCAAGGGUGCCGAUGGCACAAACUACAUCGUGUUGAGGGUAUCUGACCUGAUGGCUAUCCUCUCUUGA
rnacentral:rRNA from 1 species